CAGACUUUGAUUCUGGCUCAGGGUGAACGCUAGCUACAGGCUUAACACAUGCAAGUCGAGGGGAAACGAUAGAGAAAGCUUGCUUUUUCUAGGCGUCGACCGGCGCACGGGUGAGUAACGCGUAUCCAACCUGCCCAUCACUUGGGGAUAACCUUGCGAAAGUAAGACUAAUACCCAAUGACGUCUCUAGAAGACAUCUGAAAGAGAUUAAAGAUUUAUCGGUGAUGGAUGGGGAUGCGCCUGAUUAGCUUGUUGGCGGGGUAACGGCCCACCAAGGCGACGAUCAGUAGGGGUUCUGAGAGGAAGGUCCCCCACAUUGGAACUGAGACACGGUCCAAACUCCUACGGGAGGCAGCAGUGAGGAAUAUUGGUCAAUGGACGAGAGUCUGAACCAGCCAAGUAGCGUGCAGGAAGACGGCCCUAUGGGUUGUAAACUGCUUUUAUAAGGGAAUAAAGUGAGUCUCGUGAGACUUUUUGCAUGUACCUUAUGAAUAAGGACCGGCUAAUUCCGUGCCAGCAGCCGCGGUAAUACGGAAGGUCCGGGCGUUAUCCGGAUUUAUUGGGUUUAAAGGGAGCGUAGGCCGGAGAUUAAGCGUGUUGUGAAAUGUAGACGCUCAACGUCUGCACUGCAGCGCGAACUGGUUUCCUUGAGUACGCACAAAGUGGGCGGAAUUCGUGGUGUAGCGGUGAAAUGCUUAGAUAUCACGAAGAACUCCGAUUGCGAAGGCAGCUCACUGGAGCGCAACUGACGCUGAAGCUCGAAAGUGCGGGUAUCGAACAGGAUUAGAUACCCUGGUAGUCCGCACGGUAAACGAUGGAUGCCCGCUGUUGGUCUGAAUAGGUCAGCGGCCUAGCGAAAGCAUUAAGCAUCCCACCUGGGGAGUACGCCGGCAACGGUGCAACUCAAAGGAAUUGACGG
rnacentral:rRNA from 1 species